AUGUUCAUAGAAGAUUAUUUGCUGCUAAAAUGGUGUAUUCAAGUGGACUGGCCCUCCUUAACAAGGAAUAUGAACACUCGGCCCUUCUCAUUGGAUUUUCCUGGCUCCGCCACUGGCCGCAGCACAGGGCUGCUCCGCCGCAACUUCAGGUUGCACCGCCGCCGCACAAGGUCACGCAAUCGGUGCCAAGGGGCGGGCAAGAUUUUGGCGAUGCUAGGCCUCCUCCUCCAGCAGUGGCUUGAGGACGAGGGUCUGCGGGGGCCAGAGAGUUUGGAGGGGAUGCGCAUGGAGGCCGAGUUCCUCCCCGUGGCCAGUGGUGCGAUGAUGGUUACAAUGCUUAUGGAGGUGGACAGCACCGGGGCUCGUCGUCAUCGGGAGGCGGCCGCGGCUAUGCUUGGUAGGGGGAUGGCUCGGCUGAUCGUCCUUUUACAUACCUCCAGACGACUUCAUGGAAGGGAUGACUGGCCUGGAUUACAGGGCCGUGGAGGUUAUCGGGGCUUCCGUGGCGGCAGGGGGUAG
rnacentral:rRNA from 1 species